CCGCCGGGUCGGCUAAGCCGUCGGGUGGAUGCCUUGGCUCGGGCGCCGAGGAAGGCCGUGGCAAGCUGCGAUAAGCCCGGGCGAGGCGCAUGCAGCCGUGGAACCCGGGAUCGCCGAAUGGGACCUCUCGCCGGGGCCGAAAGGUCCCGGCACUCCGGGGGGAAACCCCGGGCCCUCGUGGCCCGGGGGAGUACCCCCGGAGGGGGAACCCGCCGAACUGAAACAUCUUAGUAGGCGGAGGAAAAGAAAGCAACACGCGAUGCCGUGAGUAGGGGCGACCGAAAACGGCAGAGGGCAAACUGAACACCCGCCCGAAAGGGCGGGUGGAUGUGGGGUUGCAGGCCCGGGCCGCCUAUGUGGCCGUCUCCCCCGGAACGGCCGAAGUGCCCUGGAACGGGCCGCCGGAGAGGGUGACAGCCCCGUAGGCCGCCGGGGGACGGCCGCUGGCCCGGGCCUGAGUACCGUCGGUUGGAUAUCCGGCGGGAAUCUGGGGGACAUCGGCCCCCAACCCUAAAUACGUCCCGAGUCCGAUAGCGAACAAGUACCGUGAGGGAAAGGUGAAAAGAACCCCGGAAGGGGAGUGAAAAGAGCCUGAAACCCGACGGCGAUAGUCUGCCGGGGCCCGCAAGGGAUGAAGCCCCCCGAAGGAAACCCCGGUGACGGGGGAGUACGAGGGGGGCCGACCGGGGUCCCGGCGUUCGUUUUGAAACACGAGGCGGGGAGUCCGCGGCCGCGGCGAGUCUAAGGGGUUCAAACCCCGAAGGCGUAGGGAAACCGACACGCCCGCAGCCCGGCCGUUAGGCCGGGCCAGGGGCGGGGUCCUAAUAGGGCCCGCAGCCGCGGCCGCGGGACCCGAAACCGGCCGAUCUAGCCCGGGGCAGGGUGAAGCGGCCCUAAAGGGCCGUGGAGGCCCGCUAGGGGUGCUGUAGUGCAAAACGCUCCCGUGACCCCGGGCUAGGGGUGAAAGGCCAAUCGAGGCCGGAGACAGCUGGUUCCCCCCGAAACGGCCCGCAGGUCGGCCCGGCCGGAGGUAGGUGGCGGGGUAGAGCACUGAUUCCCCGGUUAGGGGCCGAGAGGCCCCGCCGGGGAGUCAAACUCCGAACCCGCCACCGCCGUAGAAGGCCGGAGUUGGGGCCGGCGGGUAAGCCGCCGGUCUGAGAGGGGAAUAACCCAGACCGGGGUUAAGGCCCCAAAGUGCCGGCUAAGUGUUAAAUAGAAAGGGAGUCCCCGGCCGAAGACAGCGGGGAGGUAGGCUUAGAAGCAGCCAUCCUUUAAAGAGUGCGUAACAGCUCACCCGUCGAGGUCGGGGGCCCCGAAAAUGGACGGGGCUGAAGCCGGCCGCCGAGACCCCGGGGCCGCGGGCCGAUGGCCCGCGGGCCGGUAGGGGGGCGCCCCGGCGGCUCAGAAGCCGGGCCGUGAGGUCCGGUGGAGCCGUCGGGGACGAGAAUCCCGCCGGUAGUAGCAGCAAAGCGGGGUGAGAAUCCCCGCCGCCGGAGGGGCCAGGGUUCCUCGGCAAUGUUCGUCAGCCGAGGGUAAGUCGGCCCUAAGGCCGGCGGUAACACCGACCGGCCGAAAGGGAAACGGGUUAAUAUUCCCGUACCGCGGGGGUACGCCCGGCAACGGGAAGCCCGGCGGCCGACGCCUCGGGGUAGGCCGGGCGGGGCUGUCGCCCCGUCCAACCGGUGAAGGCCGGGGAGUCCCGUAAUGGGGAGAACCGGCCGAAGCCGGGAAGGGCCGCCCGUUAUGGGCGGUCCGGCCGAUCCCCGGGGCCCGUGAAAAGGCCGCCGGGAAGGAUCCCCCGCGACCGUACCGAGAACCGACACAGGUGCCCCUGGGUGAGAAGCCUAAGGCGCGGCGGGGUAACCCGGCCGAGGGAAAUCGGCAAAUUGGCCCCGUAACUUCGGGAGAAGGGGUGCCCGCGGCCCUGACCCCGAGGGUCGAACCUCGGGGGAGGGGCCGCGGGUCGCAGUGACUAGGGGGGGCCGACUGUUUAAUAAAAACAUAGGUCCCGGCUAGCCCGAAAGGGCUGGUACCGGGGCCGACGCCUGCCCAGUGCCGGUACGUGAAGCCCGGGUACAACCGGGUGAAGCGCCGGUAAACGGCGGGGGUAACUAUAACCCUCUUAAGGUAGCGAAAUGCCUUGCCGGUUAAGUACCGGCUUGCAUGAAUGGCGUAACGAGCCCCCCACUGUCCCCGGCCGGGACCCGGUGAACCCGCCAUCCCCGUGCAGAGGCGGGGGACCCCCGGCGGGAAGCGAAGACCCCGUGGAGCUUUACCGCAGCCUGCCGUUGGGGCACGGCUGCGGGUGUAUAGCGUAGGUGGGAGCCGUUACUCAGGGGCGGCCGCCAGGCCGUCCCCGAGGCGCCCAUGGAACACCACCCUCCCGCGGCUGUGCCCCUAACCCGGGCCGAGAAGGCCCGGGGACAGCGGUUGGUGGGCGGUUUGGCUGGGGCGGCACGCCCCCGAGAAGGCAUCGGGGGCGCCCAAAGGUCGGCUCAGGCGGGUCAGAAAUCCGCCGUAGAGUGCAAGGGCAAAAGCCGGCCUGACUGGGUCCCGCACAAUAAGGGACCCAGGCGGGAAACCGUGGCCUAGCGAACCCCGGUGCCGCCCCGGUGGCGGCCCGGGAUGACAGAAAAGCUACCCCGGGGAUAACAGGGUGGUCGCGGGCAAGAGCCCACAUCGACCCCGCGGCUUGCUACCUCGAUGUCGGCUCUCCCCAUCCUGGCGGUGCAGCAGCCGCCAAGGGUGGGGUUGUUCGCCCAUUAAAGGGGAACGUGAGCUGGGUUUAGACCGUCGUGAGACAGGUCGGUCGCUAUCUGCCGGGGGUGUUGGCCGCCUGAGGGGAAGGACCGCCUAGUACGAGAGGAACGGCGGUCCGCGGCCUCUGGUGGACCGGCUGUCCGGCAGGGCAAGCCGGGUAGCUACGCCGUAUCCGAUAAGGGCUGAAAGCAUCCAGGCCCGAAGCGGUCCCCGAAAAUAGGCGGCCGUUGAGGCCUCGGGUAAAAGACCCGGUUGAUGGGGCGGGGGUGUAAGGCCCAAGGGGCCGUUGGGCCCCGAGGGCCUGAGCCCACCGCUCCCAAUCGGCCGAUGGACCCGGCGG
rfam:Methanopyrus kandleri AV19, complete genome.